rnacentral:rRNA from 1 species
CCUACGGGAGGCUGCAGUGAGGAAUAUUGGUCAAUGGACGAGAGUCUGAACCAGCCAAGUAGCGUGAAGGAUGACUGCCCUAUGGGUUGUAAACUUCUUUUAUAUGGGAAUAAAAUGUUCCACGUGUGGGAUUUUGUAUGUACCAUAUGAAUAAGGAUCGGCUAACUCCGUGCCAGCAGCCGCGGUAAUACGGAGGAUCCGAGCGUUAUCCGGAUUUAUUGGGUUUAAAGGGAGCGUAGGUGAAUUGUUAAGUCAGUUGUGAAAGUUUGCGGCUCAACCGUAAAAUUGCAGUUGAAACUGGCAGUCUUGAGUACAGUAGAGGUGGGCGGAAUUCGUGGUGUAGCGGUGAAAUGCUUAGAUAUCACGAAGAACUCCGAUUGCGAAGGCAGUUCACUGGACUGCAACUGACACUGAGGCUCGAAAGUGUGGGUAUCAAACAGGAUUAGAUACCCUUGUAGUC